rnacentral:lncRNA from 1 species
UAGCCAAGGACUCACAUGAUAGUGUGCUUGGUGAACUGUCUCAGAUACAGUGGAAGAUCACUUCUUCCAACCCCUUUAUUUUAUGACAUCUCAUUAGGUAAGUCCAGGUUGAUGCUAAUAAUACCAAUGAUGCUACUCGAGAUAGCUGACAUAUAUUUAAUGCUGACUGUAUGCCAGGCAUUAUUCUAAAUACCAUGUGUAUUAACUCAUGUAAUCCUCACAGCACCUCUGUAAGGUAGUUACUGUUAUUGUCCCCAUUAUACAAAUGCAGGGUUUCUCUGAACACAAAAAAGUUAAAUAACUCGGUCAAGGUCACAGCCAAUAAAUGGUAUAGCUGGGAUUCCAACUCCAGAGUUUGUGUUAUCAGCACUGUGAGGAGUUCCCUGGUGGUCUAGUGGUUAGUACUCGGUGCUUUCACCACUGUGGUCGGGGUUCAGUCCCUAGUCUGGGAACUGAGAUCCACGUCAAGCUGCUGUUGCACUCCAUGGCCAAAUAAAUAAAUAUAAAAGCACUGAUCCUUAUGUAAAAUGCUAGAAACACAAAGGAGGCCAGGUUAGGUGGGUAUGUAGUCAAAAGAAGUCCAACUAUAUCAUCUGGCCCACCCCUCCACCCACCUGAAGAACCAUCCUAGUCACCCAGCCUGGGUCAACCUCUCUAGCCUAAGAGGGUGCCUCUUCCCUGAGUUGUAGCAUCCUCUUGCUAAGAAUCCAACCCCCCCUACCCCCGGCCUAUCUGGGAAGAGCAUUUUCUGGUUUCAAAUAGGACAGAAAGGAGUUGAGACAUCCACGCAGAGAACCCUUCAACGAGGACUUAGAGGAAGCCUGGGCUGUCUGCACAGACCCCUCUGGUCUCCCCACCAUCGUCCUACCCCAGCCCAUGCAAGGAGCCAGCCUCAGGCCCCCCAACAAGGCCUUUUUUUCCUGGACUUGCCCCCAACCCCCAGCACACAGGUGGCCAGGUCCCAUUACUGCUAAUGCACAACACAGUUACAGAGUGUGGACUGAGACCCUAUUAAGCCACCUGUCCGCACCUCAGCCGCACAGGUGAAUUACAGACUCCCAAGUCUUCAUAUCUCUCUGUAAUGCUCUAAUGGCCUGCUUCUGUUACCAUGGCAACAUGGCCACAGCUCCACAGAGUCCUCCAAGUACCUGAGGUGAAAGCAAAAGGGGCAUGUUUGCCUCAGUAGGUCAGGCCAUGUAGGCAUUGCUGUGACAGGCUGGGCUGUUUUUGCAAACCUCCAAGCUCCUGGAAGGGAGGCAAUGAUACCUAGGACUCGAGAUGACCAAACUGAAACUCUGCCUAUCAGCUGAUCACCAGCAGCCCUGCUGCAGUGCAUAAGCUGGAGGGGGCAGCUGCUUCCCACUCCUGCUCCAUGACCCCCAGGCCCUCUCUCAUCUGUAGGGUUCCCUCUGGGCCACCAAUCCAGGACUACCUCCUGACUUCCUAGUAUGUGACCUUAGGGAAGUCCUUCAGCUCCUCUAAAGCUGGAGACACUUAGGAGUGCAGAGAGCAUCAGGGGUAAGCAAACAUCUCCUCUGCCCAAUAGCACUUCCUGUGCUGCCUGUCUGCCCUCCUGGAGCUUCCAGUUCCUUAGAACAUUCCAGAAAAUGUGAAGACCUGGAAAUCUUGGAUUUGUGGCAGAGUGGCAGUGAUUCACUUAUGCCAUGGAGUAGUGGUUUCCUGGAUUAAUGGAUUCUUUUUCAGGCCUUGGCUGCUGGCUAUUCAGGCCAUAGCUCCUUGAGUGUCUUCCUUAGGGUGAACUGAUACACUUUGCUGAAAUCUAAUGUCAUGUGGGUCAUACAAAACCUAAAUUCUGUCCUGUAUGACUGACCUAGAAACUAAAUGCAGAGGCCAUACUUCUUUUAAAACAUAUCUUGGAGUUCCUGUCAUGGCUCAGUGGAAAUGAAUCUGACUAGCAUCCAUGAGGACACAGGUUCAAACCCUGGCCUUGCUCAGUGGGUUAAGGAUCUGGCAUUGCUGUGAGCUGUGGUGUCGGUCACAGAUGUGGCUUGAAUCUCGCACUGCUGUGGCAGUGGCGUAGGCUGGUGGCUACAGCUCCGAUUCGACCCCUAGCCUGGGAACCUCCAUAUGGCCUGGGUGUGGCCCUAAAAAUACAAAAA